rnacentral:misc_RNA from 1 species
AAGUCGUAACAAGGUUUCCGUAGGUGAACCUGCGGAAGGAUCAUUACUGAUUUGGCGGACCGAGCGUCAGCGAGGUUCCGCGAUCACCUGUAUUUAAAACCCACACUUUGAAUGUAAUAUGUAUAUUUUUGUAUUAUUAAUAAUAAAAGAUCACUUUCAACAACGGAUCUCUUGGCUCUC